rnacentral:rRNA from 1 species
UACGAAGGGGGCUAGCGUUGCUCGGAAUCACUGGGCGUAAAGGGUGCGUAGGCGGGUCUUUAAGUCAGGGGUGAAAUCCUGGAGCUCAACUCCAGAACUGCCUUCGAUACUGAUGAGCUUGAGUUCGGGAGAGGUGAGUGGAACUGCGAGUGUAGAGGUGAAAUUCGUAGAUAUUCGCAAGAACACCAGUGGCGAAGGCGGCUCACUGGCCCGAUACUGACGCUGAGGUGACGAAAGCGUGGGGAGCAAACAGG